CCGGGGCGGGCGGUGCGUCCUUGUCCGGGAGAGCCGUCAGGGAAAGGAGCGGGCUCUGCUCGUGGUGCCGAGCCACAGGAAAACAGGGAACGGGCAGAAACUGAUGCACAGCAAGUUCCACCCGAACACAAGGGAGAACUUCUUCACUGUGCGACUGACUGAGCACUGGAACAGAGAGGGUGUGCAGUCUCCCUCACGGGGAAUAUUCCAGAACCGUCAGGACACAAUUCUGUACCGUGUGCUCUCGUGACUGUCUGGACAGGGAGGUUGGACCAGAUGCCCCGCUAAGGUCCCUUCCUACCCGACCUAUCCCUUGUCUCUGUGACCGCGGCAGGGAGCGCCGGGGAUCGGCAAUGGCAACGCUGACGGGCCCCGCUCCCCUCAGGGAGAUUCAGGCGGGACAGGCCCCGCUCCCCUCAGGCCCCCUCAGGCACCCGCCGCGCUCAGCGGCUGAAGAGCGUCCCGGAGCGACCCCGAGCAGCAGGGCCGGGCCGGACUGACGGGACUCACCCCGGUGGCGGCAGGAGCCGCCUCCCUGCCCGUCAGCGGGACGGAAUUGUCAGGCAGCCCCGGACGGGGCCAAACCGCCUCACCAGCUUGAUCCCGAGCCCUGGAUAUCCACUGGUACCCAGGCCAGAUGAGGAGCACGACUGUCCAUCUUGGAAAGCCCCGUGCAGAGGGGAGCGGGUCCCAUGGGCACAGGCCGGAGUCUCGGGCAGGAACAGGGCCUGGCAGUGGGCUCCACGUGGAUAUCGAGCCGAGCCAUUGACCACAAGUCCAUGUUGACUGUCACCAAUCACCGCCUCAUUUUCCACAUGCCUCAGCACGGUUUCCGAGAGGUCUGCUCCAUGAUUUUGCCCAGCACAGCGGUGAGACCGAUCAUCCUGUCUUCCCGUCAGUGGGAACGUCACUGGAUUGCCCUAACUUCUGAAAUACAAUGGACAAUGGCUCAGCAACAUCAUCCACCAGUUCUCUCAGGACCUGUGGAUGCAUCUCAGUUCCCAUGAGCUUGUGCACCUUCAGGUUCUUUAGAUGGUCUCAAACCUCAUCUACUCUCACAGCAGGUGGUUCUUCGUUCUGCCAGUCCCUGCCUUUACCUCUGCAGUGUGGGCAGUGUGGCUGGAACAUGUGCCAGUGAAGAUCAAGGCAAAAACAUCACUGAGUACCCCAGUCUUCUCCAUGUCCUGGGUAGCCAGGUCCGCCAUCUCCUUCCUGAAAGGACCCACUUUUUGCCUGUUCUUCCUAUUAUCAAUGUACCUUUUCUUGUUGCCCCUGACAUCCCAGGCCAGAACUAAUUCUAUCAGGGCUUUAGCUUUCCUAACCUGAUACCUGGCUGUUAAGACAAUUUCUCUGUAUUCCUCUCAGUCUACCUGUCCUUGCUUCUACCCUCUGUAGAGGCUUCCUCUUAAAAGCUAAACAAGCAGUAAAAUACCUUCCCUUUCAAGUGUUUGAAGUACCAUACACUGAAUGACCUUUUCAUUUUCCAUUUACAAAGAAAUAAGAAAUAACUAUUCUUAUUUCUGAUACCUGUGAUUAUACCAAUAGCUAUAACUCAGGCCCAUGAAAUCCUUUAAUGUAAUGAGCCAUGCUGGAGAGUCAUUCCCCUAAAGAAAAGAGCUCAAGAUGAUUGACCUGAAAUGGCCUCUUCAUUUUUUAGUGAAAGGAGAUCUAAAUAUGGCAAACAUAUUUAGAUAUGUGCUACUGUCUCUCAACAGACAUCUUCCUCAUCAGAAUCUCUUAUGAUUAACAAGAAUUGGUUAUUUAAUUUUAGGGGUAAACUAGCAAAAUGUCUGUAACAACUAUCUGGGUUUUGUCUUUAACUGUGCAGUGAUUUUUCUGUCAGAAAAACCUUUUUUUUCCCUUUACUUAUUUCCAUUGUUUGCACAAGAGAGAAGUAGCCAAUUCGGCAUCAAGAAGUCAGUGCUUAGAAAAGUGUUAUGGUGGAAGAGUGGGCACCCUUUGUUGGUUGUUUCAUGUUUGGUGUGUGCAGAGACCAUUUUUGUACUGUUUCCUGCCAGCAUCUUCCCCAUAAUCACUUUCAUUCUCACCUGCUGGAUCUGUUUGCCUGUAUCAUCUAACACAGCUCUUCUCUAAUUUCAGAAAUUCUUCCUGUUAUAAAUGUCUUAGGCUUUUACCUUUACCUUCACCUCAGAGCCCUCUCCAGCCAAGAACGGCAGUUUUACACCCAAAAUAUAUCCAUCUCACCAUGAACAUACCUGUGUGUGUUACCAAAGACACCAGGAGGUGGACUAAAGAAAAAACAUUGGAAAGGUAAAGAAAGCUAUAGUGAAACACCCCAAUUUUUUGAAAAGCAGGAAACACCCACCUUUCCAAGGGACAGACGAAGUUCUGCAGCAUUGGUCCCAAAUUUUCUUUUAAUACAGUUCUAACUAGAUAGAAUAGGCUUUGCAGUGUUUAUCCUCCUUCCUGCAGUCUACCAGAGUUAACAGUACUUCUGUAUUUUUGCUACCUGAUACUGUCUCACACACAUUUCAUUCUCCAAAUUUUCACCCAAGCAGCUUUAAAUUAACACUAGGUAGGUAAUAACAGUAGGUUGCUUACUCAGUGGUUUGCUUUUCUCUGGGGCUUACAGACCCCUCCUUGCAUGUCGCAAAAAUCGUCUGGCUCUGGCUUCUCGGAAUGGCUCUGCCUUCCCAGCACAAACACUGCCUGCCUGGUUCUUGCUCUGAAGCUGUUGAAGACACUAUUUCAUCUGCCAAUAAUAAAGAAGCAACUGACCUAAGUUACUCUUCUCUGUUCACCUUGCUGUGAUGGCAGAGUGCUGACUGUACCAUUAUUGCUCUAUAAAGUGAAGUCAGAUUUAUGAGGCAAAAUCUAUGAUGGUGUGAUUCCAGCUAGACGAAAAAAAGCCCAGUAUGAAAAUAGUUAUUCAUAUCUGUGAUAGCCUUUGUCACAGAAAAGAUAACCCUCCUGAGCUGAAAGGAAUAAGAUCACUGAUGUAAAUCAGACUGCUGCAUUCAAGUCCCUCUAAGUUACUAAUGAGCCUGGAAGAACAAGGAUACUUAGGAGAAAUCCAGAACAGCAAGACGUAAGUUGUUGGAGCAGAGGGAAGUACUUACUUCAGAUGAUACUAAACUCUUGUACAGUAGUGCCCAGCUUAAGCUUGUAUAAGAGCAUGAAAGAGAGGGAAGGAAAAAGAAAGAGAUAAAAAAAGAAGUAAGAAAGAGAUUAAAAAAAGAAGUAAGAAAGGAAGGUGUGAACAAAUGAAUGAAUGAACAAAAAACCAAGGAAUUUAUAAAAUGCAGUGUUUCUAACUUGGUAAUGUUUAUUAUUUGAAACAUGAUGUUAUAUUUUGUUGCACUCAUUCUAGAAAUAAGAAUAAUAAAAUCUUGCUAUGAAGCA